rnacentral:lncRNA from 1 species
AGGGCGCGCCGCGUCCCGUCCGGUCCCGUCCCGUUCCGUCCCGUCGGGUCCCAGCCCCGCCAACUCUCACCCUGCCCGGCCCUUCCAGCGGAUCCACUUGCAGCCCCCGACCCCUGACUUGGUCCCCGAGGUCGGGGCUCGGUGGGAAGGAAAGCGAGGGGCUUCCCGGAAAGAAAGGGAGGAGGAGGCAGGAGGAGGCAGACGCCGAGAGAGGAGAAAAGGAGGCCAGAGGCAGAGGGAAAAGGAGGAGGGCAAGAGAAUCCUAGAGCGGGAAGAGCGUGGGCUCUGCGGGACGUGGGCGAGAGGUUACCAGGGAAAGAAUGGACAUUGACGGCAGAGAGCAAGUUUAGCCUGGAGAGGAGGAAUUGAGUGAGCAAAGGGGGUAGUCUGGGGUGCGAUGCACAGAAAGGCCCGUCCAGGGUAACCUUCACGUCUCCGUAUCCGUUGCUGUCGACUUUCCAGAGCCUUUGUUCCCAGUGACGUCCCUAUUGCAAUGGAGGGACACACUUCACUUUCCCCAGCCCCCCACCUCGAGAAUUUCUCUCACCCUCCCACCCUGCGGGGCCGCAGAGCUUGCUCCUCACGGCAGGAGUUGGAGCCCUGACGCUUGCCUUCACCUAGUUUUUGUUUGGUUUGGUUUGGCGUUGAUGGGACAAAGUCAGCCAAACUACUUUGCCAUCAGCAGAGAAGGAAAGCUUUGAGGCUCUGCUUGGCAAUGUAUACAAGACACCCUCCAGAGGGAUGGCAGCUGUAGUAACGUACAGGAAAGGGGUCCUGAUCCAGACCCCAUGAAAGUGUUCUUGGAUCUCACGCAAGAAAGAAUUUAGAGCAAAUCCACAGUGCAAAGCAAAAGUACUGCCCAGUAGGAACAGGAGGCAGCAAAGACCUAACAAAAGUGGACCAUAUACAUAGUAGCAGCCAUCGGUGUCCAUAAGCCGUGAUAUCAAAGAGCUGGAGUUUUCCCACUUCUUUUCCGAGCACUGCCUGAACCAGAAACUCAGAUGUGACAUUACCAGUAAUGAGUGGUGAAGCUUCAAGAAAGCUUUCUGAACUUUCCUUUUCCAUCCAUUGUGCUAGAGAGAAAACUGAAUUAUAUUUUCAAUCUCUCUAGAGAAAAUGUUACAAAAUUUUUCAUAUGAGGAGAUAAUCAAAGUGUACAACCCAAAAAUGUAGAAAACAAUUGUUACAGAGGUGAAAGGCAGUUAAUUAAUAACUUAUUUUUCUGGAUUUUGUGAUGUUUGUGCUAUUCAUGUGCUUUUUAAAAAACGUUGUAUUUUGCGAUUUCCUCAUUUUCAUAGCUAAUUUUGCAUUCAUAAUUUCAUGUUCUUUUUCUUAAACAAGGCCUACCCAUCUAGCUCUGGUCUGUCCAACACAAGCUGAUCUCUGGCUCCCAUUUGGGCUGUUACGUAUUGAAGGCUAACCUUUCUGGGACAGACGCAGAAGGCACAUCUCAUCUUUAUGAGGUCCAAGUUAAUUAAAUCAAUUGAUCAUAAAUGUAAAGGUUUAUAUCUGAACUCUCAAGUCUCUUUCAUUGAUCUGUGCCAAUUCCUGUGCCAAUAUCACACUUUCUCAAUUCCUGUGGCUUUAUAGUAAAUUUUGAAAUCAAAUGUGUAAGUCCAUCAGUGUCAGUCUUUUUAUUCAGAAUUAUUUUGGCUACUCUAUGUCUUCUGCAUUUCCCCAUAAAUUCUAGAAUCAGCAAGUCAAUUUCUAUAAAAAUUCCUAUUGGGAUUUUGAUAGAGAUUGAAUGGAAUUUGUAGAUCCAUUUGGAGAUAUCUGCCAUCUUGACCAUAUUUAGCUUUCAAUCAAUAAAUACAAAAUACAUCUCCAGGUAUUUAGAUAUCUUUUGAUAUCUCUCAGCAAUAUUUUAUAGUUUUCAGUGUACAGGCCUUACCCUUCUUUUGUAAAAUUUAUUUCUAAAAGCAUUAUACUUUUUUGAUGCUGUGAAUCAAUAAUUUUUUUCUUAAUUUUAUUUGUAGAAUAUUCAUAAGAAUAAAAUUUUCUUAAUUUUAUUUGUAGAAUGUUCAUUGCUGGUAUACAGAAAUAUAACUGUUUUUGCAUACCGAUCUUGUAUCCUACAACUUUGUAAAACUCAGUUAAUCUAUUUGCUUUUUUGUAGACUUCUGAUUCUCUACAUAAAUAGUCAUGUCAUCUGCAAGUAAUGAGUUUUACUUCAUUUCCCAUCCAGAUACCUUUCGUUUUCUUACCUUAUUGCAAUGGCUAUAAUCUCAAUGACAAUGUUAAAUAAAAAUAGUAAGAAUGAAUAUCCUUUUCCUAUUCUCAACCUCAGAAGCAAAGCACUCUGUUUUUCACCAUUAUAGAUGAUGUUAGCUUUGAGUUUUUUGAAGAUACCCUUUAUCAAUCAAGCUAAAGAAAUUUCUUUUCUUUCUAGUUUGUUGAGAGUUUUUAUCAUGAAUGAGGAUUGGAUUUUGUCAAAAACAUUUCUAAAUCAUGUGGGUUUUUGUUUUAUUGUAUUAACAUAUUACAUUAAUCACUUUCAGAUAUUAAAUCAACCUUGCAUUCUAACAUGUGUUUUUUUCUUUUUCCUUUUUUUGGAGGCAGAGUCUCACUUUGUCACCCAUCCUGGAGUACAGUGGUGCAAUUUCAGCUCACUGCAAUCUCCGCCUCCUGGGUUCAAGCAAUUCUCCCGCCUCAGCCUCCUGAGUAGCUGGGAUUACAGGCGUGCUCCACCAUGCUUGGCUAAUUUUUGUAUUUUUAGUAGAGAUGAGGUUUCACCAUUUUGGCCUGGCUGGUCUUGAAUUCCUGACCUCAAGUGAUCCACCCACCUCAGCCUCCCAAAGUGCUAGGAUUACAGGCAUAAGCCACCACAUCCAGCUCCUAACAUGUGUUUUUAAUGGCUAUACCUAGUCUUUCCUCAUUUUUAUCCUACUAUAACUAAUUUUUAUGAGCAAAUACAGAGCUACAUCAACUGGGGAUCCUCCAAAAUUGACAGUAAGAAACAUGCUGUUGCAUUUGCAGGCAUGCCCAGGGUCCAGAUAAGUAUGCAUAAAUAUUGUGUUGCCAUAGUGAUUAAGGGCAUUCUUCCCAAGAUGAUUUGACAACAGCAAAUCUUUUAUAAGUACCUUCUCUAGAAGUAUUUGGCAAUGAUCCUACCACUUCUCUGAAUAUUCAGUAGAAGUACAGAUGAAGUAGGAUGGUCUAGUAAUUAAAAGUAUGAUCUCUGCAGACAGGCAGGCUCCCCAGUUCAAAUUCUGGCUCUAGCAUCUACUUGCUGUGUGACUGUGGGUAAGUUAAACUCUUUGAGCCUUAGAUUUCUCAUCUGUAAAAUCCCUCUUUGGUAAAAUGGGAUAAUAAAAGCUACCCCAAAGGGUUAAUGGGAAGAUUGCCAGUAAAUGUUAAGUAGAACAUACAGUUCAGUACCUGGCAUGCAGAGCUCAACAAACAGUAGAAAUUACGACUAAGACAGCUUCAACAAUCCCCUCAGCUUGACUAAACUUCAGACAGGUUUCUUUGUGAGCAUAGGCCCCUUUUCUUAGAUCAUUUACUUUAGAAAACUUGCAAUUAUAAUUUCUUUCUCUAUCCCUUUGUGAAGUAAAUCUUCUACAACCCAGGAGCAUCUUUCUCCAAAGCCUAAGAACCAUGCCUUAGAAAUGUAAUCACCAAGAAAAAUUGCACCUUUAUUUCUUUGUAUCUGUGGGAAAGGAGAAGCCUAACUUCAGUAGGUGCCAAUUAGCAAACACAGAUAGCCUGAUCCCAUUUACCGAUCUCACCUCUAGUGUCUUUCAGUACUUACUAACUCACCUCAAUGCUUAAAAUUCUCCUGUCUGUUUCAGUGUGAUUGAGUUCAAUUUCUCCUCCAUUGUGAUAGUCUUGAUCUCUUUUGCAAUUGUCUUGAAUAAAGUCUUCCUUGCCUAACUUGUCCAGUGUAACUUUUCUUACAUUAUAAUGGUUAUUAUACGGAGAAAGAAGCAUGGGUUCUCCUGGUUGUUUCAGCUGUAUAACUUUAGUCAAUAUCCACUGGAGAGAAUUUCAAUAAAAGAAAACUAUUUCUUUAUGGGUUAAAAGGGAUGGGCAUGGGGGGCAAAAUAAGAAGCACUGUGGUUCAAUUACAGCGUUCUCAUUUCUUCUGAAAUCCUCUAGUUGAGUAUUGUAAUUUAAAUGGAACAACUUAUCUCCCUAAAAGACUGAUUUUGAAAGACUAUUUCCCUUUCCCUGUUAACUGCUCCCAACCCAACAGCCAUCAUCAUUUUUAAAGGAAUUCUAAGGGCAAAGAAACUAAGAAUCUAAGAGAAUGUAAUACAAUUGAUGACCCAAAGAAAAGCAGCACAUAUUAAAUUGUGACUUAAAUGCUAUUCAAAACAUAAAAUCGUGCCAUUGUAGUAUGUGUUUGCCUGUGUGUCUGUGCCUUUAUUUCUCAAUGAUGAAUUAUAUUUCAAUGAAAAAGAAUAAUGCCUUCCAAGUAAUAGUAUCGUUAUAUAAGAGACAAUUAUGCCACUAAAUUUAGAUAAUUUAGAAAUAGUCUUAAGGAGAGAAACAAAAAUUAAAAAGUAUUGAAAUACAAAGUAAGGAACUGAGAUUAUUGUUUUUCUCAAUGAAGAUAAUAUUUACUUUUGCUUUAAGAUCUAGAUAUGACAAAUGUUUUCUGGUUAACAAUUUAUCCAAAAAGAAAAAAGAAUGUCAACCUUUUUUUUUUCUCUAUUCCAGAGAGCUCCAGAAGGUUUUUAGAUUUAAAAAAGAAAACAAAAAACAAUAAUAAUACUCAAAUGUCAUAUUGGAAGCCUUAGGCAAGAGCUGUUGGUCUUUUAAUUUGCUCUUAAUACUAUGAUCAAAUAAAAAGAAGGAAAAUUUUACAAAUCAUUAACAGCUUCGAGGAUGAGGGAAGAACAGAUUUUCAAGCAUUCUUCUUUAUUUAGUCAGAAAUGACUGGCUCAACCUCAGCCUACUUCUCUGAGGCACAUUCCUACCAACUCUUGCAUAUUAAAUUUUGCCAGAGCAAUGGGCCUGACAUGGCCUUUUGAAUCACAGUGAAUCACAGUGACCCUUAUCCAACUGAAUGUCUCCUCCAAUCAUGUUUAAUGUACAUCAAGCAUUCUACAGUGCCAAGAUGAAGACCUGCAUUGUUUUUUUAAAACCCACAUUACCUUGUCAUUGUGUAAGAGAAAGAUAUAUUUAGGAUUGAAGGGUGCUUCUUAUUAGACCCAUUCAGGAAGAAAGUAAGUCUAGAGGAGCCAAGCUCAAAACAUACUCUUCACCAUACACAAUCAAAUUCCUCUCAGAAAUAAUGUUCUUCUUCUCCAUCUAUAUUUUGGAAAAUUACAUGAAAAUCAGUAGAUACUUGUAAUGCAAUCAGUGCUGAAUUAUUACUCAACAAGCUGAGUCUUCGAGGGCACCAGCAAAACAGCAGGAAUGACUAAGAAAAGUUUAACUUUGAUGAAUUUAUGUAGCGUCUUGAAAUAAAAUGUAAAAAUGAAGCCAUUUUCAUUUCAGUAUUCAGAGUUUUAUAACAUUUUGAAAAAGUAAAUUUUCUUUUGAAGAUUUUAUAAAUUACACAUGGGGUUGUUAUUACAAUCUCUUCAGUGUUCAAGGUUUCUAAAAUUCUCAAUUCAGCCCUGGAUACAAAAACUCUAAACACAGAGGGUUAAGGUAUUAAAGAUGAAAGCUAGUACCCUUACAACUAUUUAUAUUGCAAAAGCUUUGCCCUCCUGCAAGAACAUGCAGUUUCCCAAACAGUAACCUCUCUUUACAAGGUUAUGCUUAUUAGCUGGGAUUCGAAGCUCAAUAGCAACACUGUUCAUCCAUGGUUCAAUUCAGAUUGUAAUUUCUUUUUAAACUACCUGACCCUUAUAAUCAUAUGGUGAGUUGGUCUGAUCAUUCAUCUUCUCGAGGCCAAGUACUUGGUCUGAACACAGAGUCACUUGUGUUUCUGAAGCCUCUCUGCAUCAAGAUGAUUGGGGUGAAAAACUGUCAAUUGAAAAAAGUUUGAAAGAAACCUUUUAUACAAUGUUUUCAUUGUCUUGUUCUUUUUCUGGAACCACAAUUUCUGAUUGGGAAAACAAAAGUCUUCCUAGAUACAAGAAUGAGGUUUUAAGAGAUAAUCUUUGUUUCUAAUUAAGUGUGGAAGCUAUCAACUAUCGCAUUGUCCCCAAUGUCAGAAUGUGCUGAAUAAGAUUUUGCUUUUUCUCAGGGCCCAGCAUUUAUUAAGCACUCAGCAAAUGCUUACUAAAUGAAUGAAUGACUCUACCCAAGCUUGUGUCUUUGUCUCGAAGCUGUAUCUUCCAUCACAGUAUUAAAAUGUUUUUUAUGAACAUGAGCAUCUGGCUGCACAUACAGAGCAGCACAUUCCACACACUGCCCUAAUUGGAUCACCAAUUGGAGGAAAGUAAGUCACAAGCUGAUUGCCUAGAGUGGGUUUUUCCCCAUCUCUGAACCAAUCUCUGAGGCAAAAAGAAUGCUAUUAGGCUGACUGAUUUAUGUAAAGCAGUGCCUAUCAUUUCUGCAGUUAGGAUGGAGUCAAUUCCAUCCAAAGCCAAUAGAAGAGAGACAGUACUCUAAAAGAAGGCCUAGGAGCCAUGAAUAACUGCCGAGGGUACCAUAGACACUGGGUUGGACAAGCAAGAAAUAGUGACGAUGUGACUUCUAUUUUUAUGAUGGCUCAGCGGAAAAUUAGUAAAUACAACCAGUGUGUUAGAAAUAAUUCCGUAUCUCCUAAGAUACAUUGGUUAAAAAGAUACUAAUAAGUUUUUGUGCGUGUAACAUUUGACACCAGGCUUUUAAGUAAAACACCCUAAGAUGGAACUUACUGUGUAGUGGAAAGAGUUAGACUCACUAGACAUUGAUUAGCUGACUGACAUAGAGCGUUUCUUAUCAGUCAACAAAACUAUUUCCAGAGAGGCUUGAAAUAAAACAGUUGACUUUAUGUAGAUUAUGGUUAAUAUCUUUUGCAGAUUUUCUAAGAAAUCUUUCCCUAUCAGAGGUCCCCAAAACAUUCCUUUAUCAUUUUCCUUCUAAAUCUUUUAUACAUGCUUAAGAAAUAUGCACAUGCUCUAAAUUGGGGGAACAUGAUCCUUUAUGUAUUAAUUGAAUCAACUUUGGUUACCAUGUUGUUCUAUUUACUUUUUUGCUGCUCGAGCUAAAAAUUGAGUGACUUCAAAUACAACAUAAUAGUUUUUUUUUCCGUUUUGCCCUCUACAUUUUUACUUUAAUAACUUUGUUUAGAACUGUUAUACCUACUUCAGUUGAAAUUUUUAUUAUUUUUGAGAGUCUCCUUAUCCUUAUUAAUGCUUUUCACUUUAAUAUUUGUAAGGCUAAUACUGAUACAGCUAUCCUAACCAGGUAUAUUUGCUUGUUUUAUUUUCCCUAAUUCUACUUUUUGUCUUUCUCUGUCCUUGUACUGUCUUUUGUAAACUGUAUAUAUUGAACAAGGUAGACUUUUUUUUUUAUUAAUCUGGUGAGAUAGGCAAUUUAUAUUUAUUGUAACCAUUUAUUAUAUACUAUGCCAUUUCUUUGCUUUUUCUAUGCUUUUUCUUCCUUCUUGCAUUUUUGUGGUCUAUCAAAGUUGGGAUUUCUAAAGUGUUUUUCCCUUAUUUCAGAAUGUUUCCUCUCUACUGGUUUGAAAGUUAUAUUGUAUUGCUAUUCUUUAAAGGUUAUCUGAAAAUUUUCUGUUAAGUACUUAGAUUAACAACAUCUAAAGUCAUUCAUUAUCUUAACUUCCAUCCUAAAGAGUAUCAGGAUCUUGGAGCACUCACACUAACUUCUAAGUGCUCCCGGACACUUUCCCCACAUAUACAUUUCCUGAGUUAUGUAAAAUGUUGCUAGUAUUUUAAUUACGCUCUUUUUUACUCCACAGAGUAAAUACUUCUUAAUAUAGACAGUAUUUAUUUACAUUUCCCAUGAUUACUGAUUUUUUAGCUCACCAUACCUUCUUGCAUCUCAGACUUUCCUCCUAGUCAUUUUGCUGUACUCUAAAAUUCAUCUUUAUUCUUAAGUGAAAGUCCCUUGUUUGUAAAUUCUCAUUUUGAGAAAAAAGUGUUUUUAAUAUACCCUUGAUUUUGAAAGAUAAUUUCACUGGGCACUCAUUCUAUUGAGUUAUUCUCUCAGUACCUUAAUGAUGUUAUUCCACUGUCUUUUGCCUUCCAGUUUUGGCACUGAAAAGUCUACUGUUGGCCAGGUGCAGUGGCUCAUGCCUCUAAUCCCAGCAUUUUGGGAGGCCAAGGCAGGUAGAUCACCUGAAGUCAGGAGUUCGAGAACAGCCUGGCCAACAUGGCAAAAUCACGUCUUUACUAAAAAUACAAAAAAAUUAGCCAGGUUGUGGUGGCGCACACCUGUACUCCCAGCUACUCGGGAGGCUGAGGCAGGAGAAUCAAUUGAACCCGGGAAAUGGAGGUUGCAGUGAGCAGAAAUCACACCACUGCACU